rnacentral:rRNA from 1 species
AUUGAACGCUGGCGGCAGGCCUAACACAUGCAAGUCGAGCGGGGUUUUCGGACCUAGCGGCGGACGGGUGAGUAAUGCGUAGGAAGCUACCCGAUAGAGGGGGAUACCAGUUGGAAACGACUGUUAAUACCGCAUAAUGUCUACGGACCAAAGUGUGGGACCUUCGGGCCACAUGCUAUCGGAGGCGCCUACGUGGGAUUAGCUAGUUGGUGAGGUAAUGGCUAACCAAGGCGACGAUCCCUAGCUGGUUUGAGAGGAUGAUCAGCCACACUGGAACUGAGACACGGUCCAGACUCCUACGGGAGGCAGCAGUGGGGAAUAUUGGACAAUGGGCGCAAGCCUGAUCCAGCCAUGCCGCGUGUGUGAAGAAGGCCUUCGGGUUGUAAAGCACUUUCAGUAGGGAGGAAGCGUUGUGUGUUAAUAGUACACAGCGUUGACGUUACCUACAGAAGAAGCACCGGCUAACUCUGUGCCAGCCGCCGCCGUAAUAC